UCGUAUCUUUCAAAUGAUUGAACAACGAGCGAGAGUCUUUGAAAAUUUUCUUUAAAAUAAUGUUCAAAGACAUCAUAAGUCUGACUGAUGUAUUUCCAAGCUGGGAAAUAAAUGUUAUCAAGUUAAUACAGAAUACCAUGUCAAUAAUAUCAACAAAGGGCUUGACUACAUGGAGCAAUCAAGUUGUCCUUGUUAAAGACAAGUUGUAUUCACUUUUGUCUUAGUUACUCAGAGUUGUCGUUUAGUUACAUUAAGAAAGAGGUUUUAUUGGCUACUCACUAUUCGGAAGGUAAUUGUGGGAAAUAGUUAAGAGAAAAGUUUGAGAUCCUUGCUUCCUUUAGUCUAGAGAUAAGUUCCAUGAUGGAAGAACAUUACACGCAUACAAAAGGACUCUAUAGGAAGCUGAAAGAUACUAUAAUUGAUGAGAAAUCCACAAUAUUUUCUGCUCUAACAAUUACAUUGACAAUAAUCAA